UUCUUGCAUUUAUUUCCCCAUUUAUUUAUUUAUUUAUUCUUUCAUUCAGUUCUGUCACUUUGGAUGUUCCAUACAUAUCUUCCAGCAUAAGAAGCUCCUCUUUGCUUGAGUUUUCCAUCGUUGGAUGUCAACUCAAUCAACUUUAGCAGCGCUUCUUGAAGUUCUAAAUUUAGAACUUUUAAGUGUAGACAACGGCGAAUUAUUAACGAGAAAGGUCUUCUUCAAAGAUAUCCAUCUACUUACUUUGGAGUGACAUUUUCGUUAGCGUCUCAAAAUACGACUACACGUGCCUCCAUCUUGAGUCGGCCCCUCCUUCUGGUCCUGGACCUCAGAAACAGUUCAGACACUUACUGACCCGGACGAGCCGCCGCUAAGCCCCGCCCACCUCCCCAGCAGCCGAUCGUUCAUUGGUCCGUGCAGAUGACCCGUCCUCUCCGGAUUGUGUGUCCAGCUGCGGGUUUUUGUCUCUGAUCAGUGGACUGAGAGAAAGCGGUUUGCCUCGCGCCCCACGCAGCUCCUCCAGCUCUCGCUGUGCAGCCGUCUCUGUGAGCGUCUCCCUCUUAUUGGCAGCAGCUGCAGCAGAGAACUGUGAGGCCGAGACAGCCACACCCUCUGCCCCCCCGGCCUGUUACUGCGUCACACAGAAACCAGUCAAAGCUGUGGUGUUAUUGAAGCAGGUGGAGCAGGUGCAGAGAAUUCCAAUUCCAGCGGUGUCAGUGAC